CGGAGGGAUAGCGCAUAACCUUCUCUUCUUUUAUAAAUACUACAUCUACACCGAUCGACGGUACAAUGACAUGCACGAUUCAUACGUCCUGACUCAAAGCUUAAUGAAUUACGUCGAAGUGAUACUGAACAUUGUGGUGUUAUAUUGUAAGCAGUUCUCCUCCCAGCUCCGAAUAUGUUGGUUGCGGUCAGUGAUCGCCUCCCCAGUGAUUGGUGC